rnacentral:lncRNA from 1 species
GUGUGGGUGUGUCGCCUGGAACAAGGAGAAAAGAGGGGAAAACCCUCUUAUUCAACAAAUCAGUGAAAUUGGAAGGGAAAAUCAAAGUCUGAUUGUAUGCAUGAAUACCAAUCCUUGAUCACCUAAGAAUUUCCUGCAUAAGGGAUCAAGGAAGAAAGCUCGAGUCGUUCCGGGUCGCAAACAAACAACGACAAAGGUAAGUUCUUGCUUACAUAACGUUAUUAGCAUGUAUUGUCGUGGCAUACUAUUAUUCAAUGGUUGAAGUCGUUUACUUGUAACGGGUUAUUGCAAGCCGAUUAUGUAAUUUAGGUAUGGGCCAAAUGAGUUAGAAGAGUAAUGUGAAAAAAAUGGAAGAAACUUCAUGUUCGGAAGAAGGUUUACUUGAGGGUCAUGUUUGUAAUUAACGUUGUAAAGCGACUUAUUAAAUGGCGUUACUUGGAUCGAACACAUUCAUGAUGCACGCUUCCGUGAAGAAACUAGUUUUAGUCAAAACUUUUGUUAAAUGCUUUUCUUUUGUUCCAAACGGGUCUUUUGUAAGUUUUAUGAUCCGAAAGUAGUAGAUGUUGAACUUGUAGUUAAAAGACUAUGUUAGUAGUUUAUGUAAUGUUUGGGUUAAAAACUUUUGUAGUCGUUAUGUUGUUCGUUACCAAGUUAAAUGCAGAAUUUUGGUUUGUAAAUUAUUCGACCCGUUUACUUCUUUGUUAAAUGAAAGUUCGUUAGUGUCCUUUUUUAAGUUUUAGACCUUACAGCAUAUGUGUUCAUUUGUCAUCUCUAGCUAACUGAUAUAAUAUUAUUCGCAUAACAAUGACCGUUUUGAACUCUGAAAACGGUAUAGCAACAAUAUAAUAUACACGUGUUUCUGAAGUUUGACCGAGAUGACACAAUCGAAACUGGUUGACCGAGUUACAAAUACGAAUGUCAUAAACUGCGCAUUAUUGGCAACUAUACAUGUUCAAUAACAAGAACAUGAUGUGCACACACAUAAUUCUAGUUCUGUUUCCUGAAGAUCUCAGUAUUGGCCUGAUAUGCCAGAUAAAGUUUUAAUCAAUGAUUUUAUAUACCUUGAUCUACAUUUCGCCCGGAAGCAUCGUAUCCCCUGGCAGGUCACAUACCGCAAUUCCCUGAAAGUAAACAAGAUUAUAUAAAAAAAAUGUUUGCGAGUCAACCCAACCCGUUUUCACUGGUAUCAGGUACUCACCUCUCCCGUUAAGUGUGCUACACAUUUCUUCUCGGCAAGCAGCUCGUCCUCAGACUAAAAAAAUAUGAAAGUGAUUUAGCAUUGUACCUUGUAAGAUAAAAAUAUUAUAGAUUUGAAGAGUGAAGAUUUCGAGUACCUUUUUAAUUCUUUUCCAUAGGUAGUCAUCGAAUAUCACGUCUUUAACAAGCUCGUAAUCGCCAUCCCCCUAACCGAAAAAAUUAACGGAGUUGAGAAAUACAAAUUAGAAGAAGAGUU